GCUUGCCUGGGCAGCACGUACUAAAAUUGGAAUGGCGCAGAGAGGAUUAGCACUGGCCCUGCGCAAAGAUGAUGUUAAUUACUGAGGGAUGAUACAUCUUUAG